CGGGGAGCAACGGGGUCCUUGCGAGGGCCUGAUGAGAGUACCCGGAGAAAAAGCAUCGGCUAACUCCGUGCCAGCAGCCGCGGUAAUACGGAGGAUGCGAGCGUUAUCCGGAUUUAUUGGGUUUAAAGGGUGCGUAGGCGGGCUGUUAAGUCAGCGGUCAAAUGUCGGGGCUCAACCCCGGCCUGCCGUUGAAACUGGUGGCCUCGAGUGGGCGAGAAGUAUGCGGAAUGCGUGGUGUAGCGGUGAAAUGCAUAGAUAUCACGCAGAACUCCGAUUGCGAAGGCAGCAUACCGGCGCCCGACUGACGCUGAGGCACGAAAGCGUGGGUAUCGAACAGGAUUAGAUACCCUGGUAGUCCACGCAGUAAACGAUGAAUGCUAGCUGUCCGGGGCUUCGGUCCUGG
rnacentral:rRNA from 1 species